UACUGUGGCCACUGUUACCUUAACCUC
rnacentral:piRNA from 1 species